rnacentral:rRNA from 1 species
AGAGUUUGAUCCUGGCUCAGGACGAACGCUGGCGGUGUGCUUAAGACAUGCAAGUCGUGCGGACCGUAGCAAUACGGUCAGCGGCGGACGGGUGAGUAACACGUGGAUAACCUGCCUGACUCCCCGGGAUAACAGGCCGAAAGGCCUGCUAAUACCGGGUAAGCUCACAGGACCGCAUGGUCCUGGGAGAAAAGCUCCUGCAAGGGAGUGGGGUCAGAGGGGUCCGCGGCCCAUUAGCUAGUUGGGGGGGUAACGGCCCACCAAGGCGACGAUGGGUAGCCGGCCUGAGAGGGCGACCGGCCACACUGGGACUGAGACACGGCCCAGACUCCUACGGGAGGCAGCAGUCGGGAAUUUUGGGCAAUGGCCGAAAGGGCUGACCCAGCAACACCGCGUGAGUGAAGAAGGCCUUCGGGUUGUAAAGCUCUGUUGCCCGUGAAGAACGGUACUAUCAGGAAAUGGGUAGUACUUGACGGUAGCGGGUGAGGAAGCUCCGGCUAACUACGUGCCAGCAGCCGCGGUAAUACGUAGGGAGCGAGCGUUGUCCGGAUUUAUUGGGCGUAAAGGGCGUGUAGGCGGCUUUUUAAGUCUGAAGUGAAACGCCAGGGCUCAACCCUGGAACUGCUUCGGAUACUGGGAAGCUUGAGUACUCUAGAGGGCAGUGGAAUUCCGGGUGUAGCAGUGAAAUGCGUAGAGAUCCGGAGGAACACCAGUGGCGAAGGCGACUGCCUGGGGAGAAACUGACGCUGAGGCGCGAAAGCUGGGGGAGCAAACGGGAUUAGAUACCCCGGUAGUCCCAGCCGUAAACGAUGAGUGCUAGGUGUAGGGGGUAUCGACCCCCCCUGUGCCGGAGUUAACGCAAUAAGCACUCCGCCUGGGGAGUACGGCCGCAAGGUUGAAACUCAAUGAAUUGACGG